rnacentral:rRNA from 1 species
GGGUUGUCAUGCCAAUGGCACUGCCCGGUAGCUAAAUGCGGAAGAGAUAAGUGCUGAAAGCAUCUAAGCACGAAACUUGCCCCAAGAUGAGUUCUCCCUGAGACUUUAAGUCUCCUGAAGGAACGUUGAAGACGACGACGUUGAUAGGCCGGGUGUGUAAGCGCAGUGAUGCGUUGAGCUAACCGGUACUAAUGAACCGUGAGGCUUAACCUUACAACGCCGAAG